AUUGUUAAAGGCAGAGAAACAUAGACUGGAAGAAAUAAAUGUUUAUUCAAAAGUAUCAGAAUGAGGAUUGAUAAAAAUUCUCUGACAAUUUGCACGCGCUAAAAUUGUUUUUGGAAAUGUCUUUCUUGCGGUUUGGAAAAUAUUAAACCAAAAAAGGGAGUUUCUCGAAAAAUGAGCGUAAAGUUGCUCGAUUAUAUCUGAGUCCGCGCGAUUCUUUUUAAACCGUUGAAAAAAUGUAAUUAAUUGUGCUCGACCAUUAAGAAUAUUAAUGAAGGAGAUAGAAAGAGAAAAGAAAUUAAGCUUCGCAGAAACCAACAUGUUCUUAUGCAUACAACUAUUAUUCAACUUUUUUUUUUAAAUGAAUCCAAUUUGAUGUUUCACGUAGAAACGUUAUUUAUUUAUUUAUGGAAUUAUUUUAUAAUAAACUCAUUAACGUUAACAAUAAACUCACUUGAUCGCAAAAAAAAGAAAAAUACAUAAUUUGCCACUACGUGUUUGCAAGAUCGAAUAAUAUUUAAUUACACGGAAUCGAGUAGGUUUGUCUGUUUAAAAAGACUCCAAUGCAUUAGAAACGUUCUACGUAGAGAUGUUUUUCUUUGUCGCAAUUAACAUUCCGCGAGUAUUUCUUCCCAGAAGGGAAUACAGAUCCGAUGGAGAAUGAAAAAUCUCUGUUGGGGCCAGCGAUAAAUUUGAAUCGGUUCCAAUGGCGAGUCGGUGACCGCGACAACGAAAAUCGUUUCGGGAUUCGAGGCUGGCACGGCGACGUUGCAUUUACAUUAAGCCAGUUUGUCGAAUCGAAUCGAAUGGACGCCGUGCAGAUGAUCGAGGGUUAAUGGACCGAGAAAAGCCAAGAAUUGGCUGGAAAAUUAUAUACCGUUCUCUUGAUUAUAGAUCUCGCGUCGUUAUUUCUUAUUUUCGUUUUAACGUUGCUACUUUGAGAUUAUCGUUCUCGUCUCUGAAUCUUCUCAAAAGAAUAUCAAAGCAAAUUGGUAAUUUUUUCUAAAAUAUUCCCUCUUUCUCGUUCUUUGCUCAUGUAAACUUUUGCUUCCGAUUUGUCAAGUCUGAUUUUCACAGUAGAAUAAUCGAAAGUACUUGAGAAUAAUUACGUAUUAAUCUACAAGCCAUAAUCUAUCAAUUCACAGAUGAUACUGAAUUUAGUGAUCUUCCAAAGUAAACAGAAUUAGCGCUGAAUUUAAAUCGAAGAAAUCCAAAUGAAAUUUUAAAUUAAAUUAAAUUAAAGGAAUCGGUAAGAUACACUAAGCUACUUUUAAUAUUAUGGAGAAUUUACAAAAUAAGUUUGACUUUGCAAAUUAUACACGCCUGUGUGUUUUCUAUUUAUUUCUAUUUAUACUAUCAACGAGCCUACAUCUAUGAAGAAAAGACCUAAUGGACACCCUAUAUAUUAGGUUGUUCGAAAAGUCUCUUUCGUUUCAAAAGCUGAUAAUAAAUGAACAACAAUUUCUGUUUUAUAUUAUUUUAUUGCAUUAGGUAUGACCCAUUUCGUUAUAUUUCUAUUAUCAUCCUCCAUUAUUUUAUAUAAUUUUUGUAUUAUCACGUUCGUGCAUAAUUCAAUAAACUAAUAUAAAACAAAAAACAUUGCGCGUCUAUUAUUUCCGUAUAAAACGAAAGAAACUUUUCGGACAACCUAAUAUGUACAUACAUACAUGCAUACACACAUACAUAGCAACAUACUCUACACCAUAAUAUGCUCGUGUUACGUCCGGUGACUCUUUACGUUCGAGGCGGCCACCAGCUGUGCACAUAGAAUUAAACGGACCGCAAUAAUCCUAAGGAAAUGUCAUAAAACGAGGCUUUUUGAUUUACCGUUAGGUCCGUCAAUUGGCAUAAAACAUCUUCCAGUCAAGAGGUUCCUUAUGGUUAUUGCUCCAUCAGGUAAAAAUAGAAGUUUCCAGGAUACCACCCGCAAGCGACCAGCGGUGGGGCGAUCACCAUCGAACGAGAGUUUUCCUUCGCAACAGCAUCGUCACCGGACUUCACUGGAUCUACGACUACAGAUCAGUCGACAUCUGUUGACUGAUUCACCGAAUUUAGAACAGUCAACAUCUCUUUACCGGGUUUCCACCUGUCAAUCAUUCACCUACUUCUCUCAUGCCUAACGCAACAGCGUUUUUCUUUUUUUUAUUUGGUAGAUUAUUUACAAUCAAUUCUCGUCGAGAAUUUUAAGUAACUUCAUUUGGCGUGGUACAAUAACUUGGUUUAUAAUAAUUUAUAUUAUGUUGAUUCUAGUUGAAUCUAAUGCUUCGAUCUAAAGGGUAUUUUCUUUUGAGUCUGCGGAUCUGGUCCGUCGUGUCAAGUAGUUGGGUGACUAAUGGGUUGUGGUGGUUGUUGACUCUUGUGCUAUAUCUGCUUCUCAACUUGUAUAUUUCUUCUUUGACUGUGGGAUAUCUAACGCAACGGCGCAGCUAUCUUCUCUACAAAGUUCUUGGAAACAUAUAUUAUAAUCUGUUAAUCUCAGCGUUAUACUGAUUCAACCACCUGUAUUAUCCUAACCGAAAUAGACGAUCGAUCUCUGUUCGUGGCGUAGGUUAUUCCAAUCGUAACGGGAAUUUACGACUCCCGUUGACGCGCUUCCUCGCGAUCGCGUCUCUCCGCGACUGGUCGAAUAAACAACUCGUAUGCAUGUCAAGAGAACGAAUAAGGAAGAGAGAAGAAGAAAUUGAGGUGGAGAUAUAGUUGUGGGUGAUAGUGCUAUUGCUGGUGUACAGGCCGAGAUAGGUUCUGCUGUUGGUGUAGAUGUCGUUGCUGAGGUACUGCUGCUUUUCUUCUUAAUUUGAUGCCGUGGAAUGAAAAAUCGGACUACGGUCGUCGGGAUUUGAACCCGGGUUCCGAACGUCCGUAACCUAAGGCGCUAACCACUGCGCUGUUUUUUUUUUUUAUAACGUUUAUUGACCAGUAGAUGAGUAUUACAUUUGAAUGUUGUUCACAAUAAACAAUGAACUUGGGUUGUGGGGUGGUUUAGGCAAACGUACCGAUACGUGACGGUACGACAUAGCCAUACAACGUUUUGUGUGUCGAAAUUACAUUUUUCAGCUUACUAUUUUGAAAUUAGAUUUAUGUCGAUGUAGAGCGGUGCUUAUACAGGGUAGUCUAAAAUAUAGAAUUGUUGAGAAUUGUGGAUCUUUGAAGCCAAAAUAGUGUUAUAGGAACACUAAUUUUAUACUGAGGAUUAAUAUUAAAAUAGUAAUGUAUUUAUUUCAUGGACGAUUUCUUAUAUAUUCAUCGAUACACACUUGCACGCGUCUCGGCACUUUCUUCUAUACCCGACUGUUAACCGACUGACUAGUUUACACACACAUACCUCCACACACUGAUAUUCACAUACAAGUAUCUCUACUACACAGUUAACCCAGUCCAGCACAGAAAAUUAUACAUAUCUCAACAAGAAUAAAAAAUUUUUUUUUAAUUUUUCCAUCGAGACAACGAUCUACAAUGAGAUCUGUUAUAACGUACCGCACGCGUACCGAGCGAAAAUUCAAAGUCGAUUUUCUCGAAAACAAAGCCUCGAACGAAAAAUUGUUAUUCUAUAUUUUCGACUUCUUUUUUCGCGUAGAAUCACCGCCUUUCCGCUUGUACCACCGGUUACCAACCACCCUGUAUACGAUAUUGUUUUUCUCUUCCUAUCGAUGUUCUGAAAACCUUGUCGCAAAAACAGGACAGUUAAACCACUGUGCUGCUGUAACGUCGCCCAGAAGCCAGGAAUCCGCCGACCUCAGGAUAUGCAUAUAACACCUGGUCACGCGAUAGCAGUGAGAAUAGACAGUAGCCGGAUUCCCAUCCGUGAGAUACGUGAAUCAUAGUGAGGAGGUAAAGAUCCCAGUCCUUUAGUCAGUAAGUCAGUCUGUAUUUUGCUAUUGAAGUGUAACUUCGCCUUGUGAAUAAAGUAUACGAACGGGCUAUUGUUCAUUCGCCUUUUUUUUAUGUUAUAUAUAUGUCGGAGAUGAAAGGACACCGGAGCCUUCCCUCUGGAACUUCGGGCAAAUCCGUAAAAUUGUAAUUAAAGUUUACAGUUGUAAUUAAACAAUUUUUAUUCUUUCCAAUUGCACUUGUUUGCGAUUUGUGAUAAUAAACUUGAGCUCAAGGAGACCAUCAGUCGCCGAACGUAGCCUUUCAUCUCCGACAUAUAUAUUACCUCGUCAUUUAUUACGUGACACUGCCGUCGUCCGACAACGAUUGCUGUCGAGUGCCGCGACAAAAUUAUGGAAGAAAGCAUUGAAAGCCAAAUAUGUAUCACGAUGACGCUGUUAUUUGUCACUGAGAAGAGUGGAAACGUGAAAUCGGUUUCGGUUGCGUACAUGACAUGACAGCUGGCAAGUCAGAUCUUGGCGAUUGCCGGUCGUUGCCGGUUCAGGAUCAGAAUUAUACAGACAUGAUUUCGCGACCAAGGGGCUUGUCCGCUAUUAAUUCAAAUGCAGCUCGUGGUUGGCGCGCGAGCGCUUCCGCGACGACAGCCUGCGAUUAUUAUUGUGCAACCGGCGUAAUUUGCAUCUGAAAAAGCGGUACGUGCCUUCGGUUCUCGUUCCUUCUCUUGAAUCUCUCUCUUUCUCUUUCGUUCUAACGUUCCUCUUUGUGCGUGCAUACGCGCGAGUUACGAAUCAGGGAAUGAAAGCAGAGAGAUAAAAGACAAAGGUUUUGUUAUUAGUUACGUUCUCUUUCGUUUCGUUAUUAGUUAUACCGUAUCUGUUUUGGGAAAUUUUCCUUCCAAUUUCCAAGGAGUUUUUUCUUUUUACUGAUAUAUUUUUAUAUUAUAUUUAGUAAUAGUAUUUUUAGUAUUUAGUAGUGAUAAUAAUAAUAAAAUUUUCAUCUACCUAUCGAAUGAUAAAUAAAAAGUCGAAAUAAUAUUUUCUAAUGGGCAACAUUCGAUAGCGUAAUUGUCAAGAGUAUGAUUCUCGGAGAUAGGAAUCUUCAUUUUGAAACAUUCUGGGUAAUUACGACGACGGCUUUUAGUUUGGUUUCCCAUUAAUUAUGCGUUUUCGAUUUAUAUCGUGACUCGUUUGUUCGAUGCGAAUGCGAUUAACUGUUAGAGAGUAAUUAAUCCGUUUGAACGCGCUCCGUUUGUUCAAACAAAACUGUAGUUAGCGGGACUAAGUAAAUUUCUGGCCACUGAAUUCACUUUUCCUAACGUGAAUUACUAUUACACGAAGGCGAAAUCGUAAGUAGUACAAACCUAAGUAUCUGUCGAACGGCAGGUUAAAAAGAAAAAAGAAAAAAGAAACGGGAUUUUUAGAAUAAAUUACAGACGUUGUUAAAUAAAAUAACGCGAGCAAUUGAAUCAGUGAUCGGAGUAAAACAGUACGUGGAUGUGAUUUUACAUUGGAAAGUGAAAGAAAGUUGUGUGCGCGAAAACGCAUUAAUUUUCUAAAUUAUCGUUUAGAGUGGAGCCUCGUUAUCUGAACAAGAUAUCUUUCAAUAACAAAUGCCUUGUUUCGCCGGAAUUUAACGAAGAUAGCAAAAAUACUGCGGAUGACUGUGGACGUUGGAAAAUCCACAGACGUUAAAACACAAAAGCGCGAUAUUGAAAAUUAUCCGAAGCGUGUAAAUGUCUCGGAUACUGGCAACAGUGACGAGAAGCUGAAAUAGUCUGAUUGUAACGAGACGGUUUCGUCGUGAUAAAAGCGAUAAUUACGACGAUUUUCUACAAAUGGAAACAGAAAACGAAAGUGGUAAAGGAGAGGCGGUGGCUUCUCAUUUCGAAUUAUUCGCGGCGUUCGAAAAAAAAAAAAAAAAAAAAAAAAAAGGAUGGUUGCAAGUAGAAAAAGGAAUGUAACUGUGUUGUAACAGUCAGCUGUGUUUCAAAAAUUACGCGACUUAGCAAGCAGAAAGAUAUGAGGUCCGUAAGUAUUUCGAGAAUCUGUCAAUUAAUCUCAGCAUACGUAAAUGAAAUUUCACACGAGAAAAGCGAUCCUUCUAUUAUCAGAAAAUUCCAUUAUCCGAACAGUUUUGUCUGACUAUUGGUUCGGACAAGCUACGUACUUCGAUUUCAUACCACCAUCUUCGUCGAUUCAAUGGACGAUGAGACGAGACUCUUAAUUUUCAUUCCUUCAUUUCUUAACAUUCACAGGUUCCAGGCUUCGCAUCGCUUCAUUUUCUUCCCUUUUUUUCUAUUAAAUAAUAUCGAUUCAAUUCUUGCGUGUAUUUUUAGCUUUUAUAGGUAAUCACAGUUGCCUGGAUGUUUUCAGAUAAGAUUCUGAGGAACAGGAAGAGGAAUGUUCGAGGUGCCAUUUAUUCCACAUCUACGUGGCUUGGCAAAUAUUGAAUCUGUGAGACAGCACGGCAGAAACACCAGGUUAGCUUCCUAUCGAGAGUUUCGUGAGUUUCUCCUGAGCGACACCGGGUAUCCAUGAACUUGGGAAUUUCGUAUAAACCUUGCUGCCUUUGAUACAUCUUCUUCUCCAUUUUCAAUUAACUGAUUAAUUUCCAAUUCCAUCGACGAUUCCAUUCCUUUUUACCAAUCUCCUUUGAUCGAACCGUUUUUUCUCUACUUCCACUUUAUUUUAUCGUAUAUUUAAAAUAUCACGUAUUGCGUUCAAAUACUACAUUUUCUUCUACAGGAUGUACAAAAUGGUCCGAGCAAGACUUGUAUCUAUCAACGAGAUCAAGCAGAUAAGAACAGUUCGUACAAAUGUUUUAUCGAAGAGUUACGAGUGUUCAAAGAUUAUUAUUAAUUAAUUCAUUGUUUCAGUUAUAAUAAACUUAAAUAAAAUUAAAAGGGAAUUUCUUCCCUCUGCAAGAAUGCAGACUUCCCAUUCGUCGAACUCUAUCGAAUAUUCCUGCCGUUGUUACAUUCGUUUCGAAUAUAUUCGCAAAGCCGAGUGGAUUCUUCCGUUUCUAUCGUAUUUUCAUAAACCAAGAACAACUUCCAGGGAAAUCUUCGAACGCUUAUACCUGCUCAAUAAAACAUUUCCAAACAUAAGUUUAUGGGAACUUUUUUACCUGCUUAACGUCAUUAACACGUGGUACAAGUUUCGUUCCGAGCUUCUCGGACACCUGCUAUACUAUUGCGCUUGUCAUAUAUUCGUACGAUUAUAUUAAAAUAUAUUUUAUUACAUAUUAGAAAUUUGUAUUUUUCUAAACAGUAUAAUAAAAUAAUUUAAAAGAUAGUAACGUUUAGGCAGAGAAAUGUAUGUACUGUGCAAAGAACUGUAUGUACUUUGAAUAAUUUUUACAUUACAACAUUACGUACAUUAUGAAUUUUUGUAUUUCCAAAUUUCUCGUUUAUACGCGUAGAAAUCUGUCUGUAGCGUACGUGUUACACGGUAAUAUUUCAUUUCUAAUUUAAUUUAUCCCUUAUCGAUAUUAUUUCGAUUGUAAAUUGUCUGAUCGACGUUUAUAUCUGCAUCUUACACGAGCAAAUUUAACUUUAUAUCAGUCCGAUAAUAUUUUAAUCUUCGAUAGCUCGAGUAUUCCGUGAGAAUUUUAAUUUUGCAAAAUUGAAAAGUACGACUUUAGCGUUUGGCUCGGUGUUCUUUUUGUUUAGAAAUCGUUUCGUAGAACGUUGGCGAGUAUCGUGGUACUUGCGCGUGUUUAAUGGCUGGCUCGAUUCACAUAACUUUGUUUCUAACAAUUUUAGUACCUCUAUUGACUCGUGUGUGCGCGUAGUAUGUUACUUUUAUUGAGUAAUUAAAAGCUGUAUAUUUAACAUGGUAAACUUAGCAAUUUAUCUUCUACGGUAUAUGAUACGAAUAGAAGGGAAGAAAAUAUGAUCCGAGCAAGCACGUCGUCUCCUUUCUAUAAAUUAUGUCAAAUGAAAUAAAUAGGUGGCAAUUAAGUUGUAAAAAAUGCCGAUGGGAAAAGGAAUUAUUGGAAUAUCUUCUAAAUACGCUGUAAAAUAAAUUAUUCUACUUGCAAUACCGACCAUCUAUUCGUGUAAUCGAGUGGCAAAUUUAAAAGAGUUAAGAGGUUCCAACAAAAAUUGUUUAUUCGUUCCGUGACCAUAAUUUCUUAUAGAAAGCACUUGCAGAAAACUAACCCGAAGACGAUCUAUAUGAAGAGUACCACGAAUUAAUUUUCCAGUUAGCAUCAUCGUCGUUCUUGCUGAAUCACAGUGUGAAGAUCAAAAAUGUUCUAAUAAUUCCUACACUACUUUCAAUCUCUUUUUCGUUUACCUUUCUUCUUUUUGCUCUUUUUAUUUCAUUCAUAUUUUUAAAAAAGUCACGCAGCAAUUCCCAACUAUUCGAUUUUCUCUCUAAUAUUCGUUAAUCUUCUAUUUACUUUUUCCAACCUAGCACACAUCUUUCUAAUUCCUACACUAUUUUUCAUUUAACCGGUUUCUUCUUUCCCCGAUCGUAUCUUCGAAAUGAUCUCAAUAAUUCCUACGCUAUUCUUCAUUUUAUUACGAAUUUAAUCCGUCUUUGUCUCGCCUAGUUCAUAUUUUCAAAACGAUCACAGCGAUUCCUAACUAUCUAACCGCCUUUGCUGUCACUUUAUCAACCAUUAAUCUCCAUUUUCCCUGCCUAACUUCGUUCGCUUCUUCAAAAAGCUCUUAAUAAUUCGCACAAUUACGACUUCUUCUUUCUAUCUGUUUCUUCUUCUUUUUAGCUCGUUUCUAUCUUCAAGGAAACAUCGUGCAACACUACCUACACCUAUUACUACUACUACCAUUGCUUGCUUUCUAUUGCGUCUGCAAAAAGAUCUCGUGAUAAUUCCCAUUCUAUCUUUCGGCCUAUUUCUUCCUUCUUCUUACUUCGCUCGCAUCUUCCAAAAUAUCAUCCGACUUGCUACGCUGUUUUCCACUCUAUUAUCCAAUCUGCCUUUCCCUCUAUCUCGCUUCGCAUCUUCUAGCCCAAACCAAGAUCGAAUCCUCUGCCACGUCCGACAGAUCUAAUUAUCCAAUUAUGGAAGAAGCGCGACAGUGGUACACGUUGUCACGGCGAUUUAGAACACAUUAGACACGAUGAUAGCCGGUACGGUUUUCCGUCGUUUCGUCGGGACGAAAGGCCGCGGACACGAAAGUGACCUUCGCUCGAGCCGCCUCUAAGUGUCCAAUCACGGUAAUACUGUCCGGUCGGUUGACGUCACGGCCUCUAAUUCCAGCAAUUUCCCAAUUGCCGAUCAAAGUCGCCGGAAUCGCAGAUUGCAUCUGCUCGGUGAGCACACGCCGUUACGAGCAAGAACCAGCAACUCGUGCGCAACAGGGAGGGAAAACGCUCUCGAUGACCGGCAUCGGGGACAACUUCCGUCACGGAUCGACUUCCGCCACGGAUCGACUUCCGCGAAAACAGAGACAUCGACUAUUCCGCGAAUGGGUUUGGCGUGCCGCGUACAUACGUACUCUGCCAAGGAAUUCGUUACCGGGAUUUUCGUCGACGUGUCUUCUAUGAAUUGUCUUCUUUGAAAUGCAAAAGUCCAAGGAAUCUUUUUUCUAUCGAGGAGAAAUUAGUAGAUUUGUAGGUUAUAUUCUUUUCUUCUUUUCUUUUUUACUUGGUACGUUACGUUAGGUAUUUUUUCUUCACUUUUUUUUUAUCGAAGUGGAUUAAAGAAGUGGGAUUGGUCAGCAUGAUUUUUAAGUUACAAAUUGUUUCUUUUUUUAUUUAUUGCGAAGGUUUGAAGAGUUUCUUCUGCAUGGAGGAUCGAGGAAUUUCUUCUUUAUGGAGGAUUGAAGAAUUUCUUCUUUAUGGAGGUUUGAAGAGUUUCUUCUGUAUGGAGGAUUGAAGAAUUGGGAUUGAUGAGGAUGAUUUUUAAGUUACGAAUGGUUUUUUCUUCUUUUUUCAUUUAUUGGGAAGGUUCGAAGAAUUUCUUCUUAUCAAGGAUUGAAGAAUUGGGAUUGGUCAACAUGAUUUUUAAGUUACGAAUUGUUUUUUUCUAAAUUUUUAUUUAUUGGGAAGAUCUAAAGAGUUUCUUCUUCAUGGAGGAUUGAAGAAUUUCUUCUUUAUGGAGAAUUAAAGAAUUGGGAUUGAUCAGGAUGAUUCUUAAGUUACGAAUCGUUUUCCCUUUUUUUUUUUUGUUUAUUCGGAAGGUUUGAAGAAUUUCUUCUUUAUCGAAGAUUGAAGAAUUGAGAUUGAUCAGGAUGAUUUUUAAGUUACGAAUUGUCUUCUUUUUAUUUAUUGGGAAAGUUUGAAGAAUUUCUUCUUUAUGGAGGAUUGAAGAGUUGGGAUUGGUCAGAACGAUCUGUAAUAUAGUUUUUUAGCGUAAGGAAGUUAAAGAAGAUCGAGGAAUCGCCAUUUGCUCGUGUUUUUUUCUGAUAAUGAACAAGUUUCGUCUGAAUCCUUUCUCACAUUCUCUCCAAAAUUUCUACUCUAAUUACAGCAUACGAUGAAUUGUUCAUAUCGCGGUAAGAAUGAUAACAAAAUAAUAAUGACAACAACAACAACAAACACAGGUAUAAGAAAGAAAAAAAAACAAGUAUACUGGAAGAAGAAGAACAACACAACGAACAAGAAGAUGAACCAAAAAUAAAA